rnacentral:rRNA from 1 species
GAUGAACGCUGGCGGCGUGCCUAAUACAUGCCAGUCGAGCGAAUGGAUUGAGAGCUUGCUCUUAUGAAGUUAGCGGCGGACGGGUAAGUAACACGUGGGUAACCUGCCCAUAAGACUGGGAUAACUCCGGGAAACCGGGGCUAAUACCGGAUAACAUUUUGCACAGCAUGGUUCGAAAUUUAACGGCGGCUUCGGCUGUCAGUUAGGGAUGGACCCGCGUCGCAUUAGCUAGUUGGUGAGGUAACGGCGCACCAAGGCAACGAUGCGUAGCCGACCUGAGAGGGUGAUCGGCCACACUGGGACUGAGACACGGCCCAGACUCCUACGGGAGGCAGCAGUAGGGAAUCUUCCGCAAUGGACGAAAGUCUGACGGAGCAACGCCGCGUGAGUGAUGAAGGCUUUCGGGUCGUAAAACUCUGUUGUUAGGGAAGAACAAGUGCUAGUUGAAUAAGCUGGCACCUUGACGGUACCUAACCAGAAAGCCACGGCUAACUACGUGCCAGCCGCCGCGGUAA